AUACGGAGGGGGCUAGCGUUGUUCGGAAUUACUGGGCGUAAAGCGUACGUAGGCGGACUGAUCAGUUGGGGGUGAAAUCCCAGGGCUUAACCCUGGAACUGCCUUCAAUACUGUCAGUCUUGAGAUUGGAAGAGGUGAGUGGAAUUCCUAGUGUAGAGGUGAAAUUCAUAGAUAUUAGGAGGAACACCAGUGGCGAGGGCGGCUCACUGGUCCAAUACUGACGCUGAGGUACGAAAGCGUGGGGAGCAAACAGGAUUAGAAACCCUUGUAGUCC
rnacentral:rRNA from 1 species